GACGAACGCUGGCGGCGUGCCUAAUACAUGCAAGUAGAACGCUGAAGCGAGGAGCUUGCUCUUCUUGGCUGAGUUGCGAACGGGUGAGUAACGCGUAGGUAACCUGCCUGGUAGCGGGGGAUAACUAUUGGAAACGAUAGCUAAUACCGCAUAAAAUGGAUUAUCGCAUGAUAAUCCAUUGAAAGGUGCAAAUGCAUCACUACCAGAUGGACCUGCGUUGUAUUAGCUAGUUGGUGGGGUAACGGCUCACCAAGGCGACGAUACAUAGCCGACCUGAGAGGGUGAUCGGCCACACUGGGACGGAGACACGGCCCAGACUCCUACGGGAGGCAGCAGUAGGGAAUCUUCGGCAAUGGACGGAAGUCUGACCGAGCAACGCCGCGUGAGUGAAGAAGGUUUUCGGAUCGUAAAGCUCUGUUGUAAGAGAAGAACGAGUGUGAGAGUGGAAAGUUCACACUGUGACGGUAGCUUACCAGAAAGGGACGGCUAACUACGUG
rnacentral:rRNA from 1 species